AAUAUGUAAACUGUAAUUUUUUUACAAGAGCUUGCUUUUAUUUGUUAAUACUUAAGAAAUAAUGGUAUGUAUAAUAUAUUUGCUAAACUAAUAUAUUUGUUAAAGUAGAUACACAGUGUAAUUACAUUAUGUAUCCACAUGGUGCAUUUUAUAAUUUUUUUCUAAGGAUAAUACAUUUGAUCAUUUUAAGAACCAUAUGGACAAAUGAGUUUGGUAGCUUUAUAUGUUUUCUGCUGGGAGCUCAUCAAUGUGCACCCCUACAUUAUAAAAUUUUGUAAUUUCAAAAUGUUACAUAUUUUUCUUACACUUUUUUUCCUUUUGGAAAUUCUAAUUGAGAAUUUUUGUUUGUCACAUGUGAUGGCACAAGCACAACGAUUAUUUAAUUAUUUGAUAUAUUUUGUGCACUUUCUAAUUUCAAUUUUCUAUUUAUAGGAAGUCCGCCAGUAUUCCAUGAUAUUUCCAUUGAUUCAAAAUAAAGGAUUCUUCGAGUUCUACGAAAAUUAUGUAACUAUCAAUGUUUGUUUUCCUAUUGGAAGAUUUAAUAAUAAAUUGAUAAAAUAUGCCUCUUGUUAUAGAAUCAUUCAAAAUUGGUUUAUCCAGGUAUGACUUCAAAAAAGCUACUCAGUCUUUGUUUAACUUUCCUUUCUAGUUGUCAAAAUUAUAAGUUGGUAUAAAAGAAUGGUGGAUGAUUGAUUACUAGUUGUAGGUCUACAAAAUGUAUGGUAAAAAUUAAUAUUUGACUUUGAAAAGUAACUUAUAUGCGUGAUAUACCCGAAAAAUUUAACGAUCAAAAUGAAAUAUCCCAAAAAGUUCGGGUCCUGGUAAACUAUAUUGAGUUUUAAGUUGAAAUCCUAUUCACAUAGAAUGCCUUCGAUGUCUGUAUCAUACUACCUAUAAAAAUAUCGCUCUCUGUCAUCACUUCCUCACACUAUCUACGAG
rnacentral:lncRNA from 1 species